rnacentral:rRNA from 1 species
CACGUAGGGGCCAAGCGUUGUCCGGAUUCAUUGGGCGUAAAGAGCUCGUAGGCGGUUCAGUCAGUCGGGUGUGAAAUCUCCGGGCUCAACUCGGAGGGGCCACCCGAUACUGCUGUGACUCGAGUCCGGUAGGGGAGUGGGGAAUUCCUGGUGUAGCGGUGAAAUGCGCAGAUAUCAGGAGGAACACCGGUGGCGAAGGCGGUUCUCUGGGAAUGACCUGACGCUGAGGAGCGAAAGUGUGGGGAGCGAACAGG